AUUGAACGCUGGCGGCAUGCCUUACACAUGCAAGUCGAACGGCAGCACGGACUUCGGUCUGGUAGCGAGUGGCGAACGGGUGAGUAAAGUAUCGGAACGUACCUUUCAGUGGGGGAUAACGUAGCGAAAGUUACGCUAAUACCGCAUAUUCUGUGAGCAGGAAAGCAGGGGAUCGCAAGACCUUGCGCUGAUUGAGCGGCCGAUAUCAGAUUAGCUAGUUGGUGAGGUAAAGGCUCACCAAGGCGACGAUCUGUAGCGGGUCCGAGAGGAUGGUCCGCCACACUGGAACUGAGACACGGUCCAGACUCCUACGGGAGGCAGCAGUGGGGAAUUUUGGACAAUGGGGGCAACCCUGAUCCAGCCAUGCCGCGUGAGUGAAGAAGGCCUUCGGGUUGUAAAGCUCUUUCGGCCGGGAAGAAAUCGUAUCAGCUAAUACCUGGUGCGGAUGACGGUACCGGCAUAAGAAGCACCGGCUAACUACGUGCCAGCAGCCGCAGUAACAC
rnacentral:rRNA from 1 species